UCAUUGUGAUGAUGGAUUCCCAAACAUUCGAAAUUUCUGCCAGAAAGGUUUUUCUUCAUGUUGGCCAAUUUUUCUUUGGAUGUCUGAGUUG
rnacentral:snoRNA from 1 species